rnacentral:rRNA from 1 species
UACGUAGGGUGCAAGCGUUAUCCGGAAUUACUGGGCGUAAAGCGUGUGUAGGUGGUUUGUUAAGUUAAAUGUUAAAUCCUCAGGCUCAACUUGAGGGCUGCAUUUAAUACUGGCGGACUUGAGGUUGGUAGAGGUGAAUAGAAUUAGCGGUGUAGCGGUAAUAUGCGUAGAUAUCGCUAAGAAUACCAAUGGCGAAGGCAGUUCACUGGUCCAUACCUGACACUGAGACACGAAAGCGUGGGGAG